rnacentral:sRNA from 1 species
AAAGAAAAGAAAAGAAAAAAACGUUACCUGAUAGAAGAAAAAUGAAUUUGAAGAAGUCAACUGGUGCUCUUCGUCUAUUGUUUUUUUGGGUAAACUGCGCAGUAGCCGUUGACCCACUUUUAAUUUUAGAUUUUGACACUGUGGGCUGGCCUUUCAUUUCUUAGCCAUUCAGCCAAUAAUUGACCAAAAUGCUCUUGACGAAACUGAACCCGGUUUGUACGUACGGACCGCGUCCUUGGAAUCCAAGAGAACCGGGUUUGUACGUACACUGUUCAUCGACGAGAAAUGCAUUAAAUGUUUUCUGGGUUUCGGCGAAUUUGACACUUGAAAUUGGAAUUAAAAAUUUUUAAAAUUGGUUGGGCUCAGAAGUUUUUAAUGCUAAAAAGUUUUGACAAGACUAAAACUCAUGAUUACCUAUUAUAAUAGA